rnacentral:lncRNA from 1 species
UGCAGGGUUUUAUCCAGUCGAAUAAGGAGCAGGUGCUGAAAGUUUACUACUUGCCUGGAAUACCAGAAGUCUUCCAAAGAAACUUCCAGAUACAAAUCGCCCACCUGGUCCCAGAAAACAUCACUCUGUACGGAGAGGGCAUCUUCCCACGAAUCAGCCUUGACCUACACAGGAACCUCCGAGGCAAUGAAAAGUACCAACACUUCUUAGAACAAGCGAAGAA